rnacentral:rRNA from 1 species
GCUACACAUGCAAGUCGAGCGGUAGAGAGAAGCUUGCUUCUCUUGAGAGCGGCGGACGGGUGAGUAAUGCCUAGGAAUCUGCCUGGUAGUGGGGGAUAACGCUCGGAAACGGACGCUAAUACCGCAUACGUCCUACGGGAGAAAGCAGGGGACCUUCGGGCCUUGCGCUAUCAGAUGAGCCUAGGUCGGAUUAGCUAGUUGGUGAGGUAAUGGCUCACCAAGGCGACGAUCCGUAACUGGUCUGAGAGGAUGAUCAGUCACACUGGAACUGAGACACGGUCCAGACUCCUACGGGAGGCAGCAGUGGGGAAUAUUGGACAAUGGGCGAAAGCCUGAUCCAGCCAUGCCGCGUGUGUGAAGAAGGUCUUCGGAUUGUAAAGCACUUUAAGUUGGGAGGAAGGGCAGUAAAUUAAUACUUUGCUGUUUUGACGUUACCGACAGAAUAAGCACCGGCUAACUCUGUGCCAGCAGCCGCGGUAAUACAGAGGGUGCAAGCGUUAAUCGGAAUUACUGGGCGUAAAGCGCGCGUAGGUGGUUCGUUAAGUUGGAUGUGAAAUCCCCGGGCUCAACCUGGGAACUGCAUUCAAAACUGUCGAGCUAGAGUAUGGUAGAGGGUGGUGGAAUUUCCUGUGUAGCGGUGAAAUGCGUAGAUAUAGGAAGGAACACCAGUGGCGAAGGCGACCACCUGGACUGAUACUGACACUGAGGUGCGAAAGCGUGGGGAGCAACAGAUAG